rnacentral:rRNA from 1 species
ACCCCUACGGGGGGCAGCAGUGAGGAAUAUUGGUCAAUGGAGGCAACUCUGAACCAGCCAUGCCGCGUGCAGGAAGACUGCCCUAUGGGUUGUAAACUGCUUUUAUACAGGAAGAAACACUCCCUCGUGAGGGAGCUUGACGGUACUGUAAGAAUAAGCACCGGCUAACUCCGCGCCAGCAGCCGCGGUAA